GAUGAAGAACGCAGCGAAAUGCGAUACGUAAUGUGAAUUGCAGAAUUCAGUGAAUCAUCGAGUCUUUGAACGCACAUUGCGCCCCCUGGCAUUCCGGGGGGCAUGCCUGUCCGAGCGUCAUUUCUGCCCUCCAGCCCGGCUGGGUGUUGGGCGCUGUCCCCCCGGGGACACGCCCCAAAGGCAGUGGCGGCGCCGCGUCGGGUCCUCGAGCGUAUGGGGCUUUGUCACCCGCUCGGGACGGACUCGUCGGCGCUGGUCUUCCUCCAGGCGACCCUUCGGGGCUCGUCUUCCUUCGGUUGACCUCGGAUCAGGUAGGGUUACCCGCUGAACUUAAGCAUAUCAAUAAGCGGAGGA
rnacentral:misc_RNA from 1 species